ACGGCUCAGUAACACGUGGACAACCUACCCUACGGAGGGGGAUAACCCCGGGAAACUGGGGAUAAUACCCCAUAGACUAUGAAUGCUGGAAUGCUUUGUAGUUGAAAGGUCCGCCGCCGUAGGAUGGGUCUGCGGCCGAUUAGGUUGUUGUUGGGGUAACGGCCCAACAAGCCUGUAAUCGGUACGGGUUGUGGGAGCAAGAGCCCGGAGAUGGAUUCUGAGACACGAAUCCAGGCCCUACGGGGCGCAGCAGCGCGAAAACUUUACAAUGCGGGAAACCGUGAUAAGGGAACUCCGAGUGCCCGUAAAAUCGGGCUGUCCAUCUGUUUAAAUAACAGGUGAAGAAAGGGCCGGGCAAGACCGGUGCCAGCCGCCGCGGUAAUACCGGCGGCUCGAGUGGUGGCCACUAUUACUGGGCUUAAAGCGUUCGUAGCUGGUCUGUUAAGUCUCUGGGGAAAUCUACUGGCUUAACCAAUAGGCGUCUCAGGGAUACUGGCAGACUAGGGACCGGGAGAGGUGAGAGGUACUCCAGGGGUAGGAGUGAAAUCCUGUAAUCCUUGGGGGACCACCUGUGGCGAAGGCGUCUCACCAGAACGGCUCCGACAGUGAGGGACGAAAGCUGGGGGAGCAAACCGGAUUAGAUACCC
rnacentral:rRNA from 1 species